GCCCGAGUGGUGGAAUGGCAUACACGCAACACUUAAAAUGUUGUGUCCUUAUGGACAUGCGGGUUCGACUCCCGCCUCGGGCACCA
rnacentral:tRNA from 1 species